GUUUUGAUAGUUUAAACAUAAAACAUAACACUGAAGCUGUUAAAACGGAAUCUCCCUCAGAACA
rnacentral:tRNA from 1 species